CCUACGGGAGGCAGCAGUGGGGAAUAUUGCACAAUGGGGGGAACCCUGAUGCAGCGACGCCGCGGGGGUGAAGGAGUAUUUCGGUAUGUAAAGCCCUAUCAGCAGGGAAGAACAAUGACGGUACCUGACUAAGAAGCACCGGCUAAAUACGUGCCAGCAGCCGCGGUAAUACGUAUGGUGCAAGCGUUAUCCGGAUUUACUGGGUGUAAAGGGAGCGCAGGCGGCGCGUUAAGCCUGGUGUGAAAGUCCGCGGCCCAACCGCGGGACUGCAUUGGGAACUGGCGCGCUGGAGUGCCGGAGGGGUAGGCGGAAUUCCUAGUGUAGCGGUGAAAUGCGUAGAUAUUAGGAGGAACACCAGUGGCGAAGGCGGCCUACUGGACGGUGACUGACGCUGAGGCUCGAAAGCGUGGGGAGCAAACAGGAUUAGAUACCCCAGUAGUC
rnacentral:rRNA from 1 species